UACGGAGGGUGCAAGCGUUGUUCGGAUUUAUUGGGCGUAACGGGCGUGUAGGCGGUUCGUUAAGUCUGAUGUGAAAGCCCCGGGCUCAACCCGGGAAGUGCAUUGGAAACUGGCGAACUUGAGUACGGGAGAGGGCAGUGGAAUUCCUAGUGUAGGAGUGAAAUCCGUAGAUAUUAGGAGGAACACCGGUGGCGAAGGCGGCUGCCUGGACCGAUACUGACGCUGAGACGCGAAAGCGUGGGGAGCAAACAGG
rnacentral:rRNA from 1 species